rnacentral:misc_RNA from 1 species
GCAAGGCCUACGUUGUUGCGUCCUUUACCUGAAUAUCGUGACCGAAUCGAGUGUCGUCGAUUUGAAUCGUGUCUUGCGAACCAUCGUCGAACAAAAGGUGAUGGCUGGUCGUGGUUCAUCAGCGUUUGUUUUGAAACUGAUGGGUACCACAAGGCAUGAAGGAGGUGACUUGCAGCAGCAAGGCACUGCAAGCCUUCGCAGCAACUGGCUAGCCAGUGCUGCUCUGUUCUGAACUGCACUGCGUGUCAUGCGGAGGUUUUGUGCAAGCUCUCUGGGCGGCGACGCUAGCCACGAUUGGCUUCGUGGAUGCACAGAAAUACUCAAGGCGCUUGACGUCUGUGGCUCAUCUGUAUUGUUUUUCCCGGUACCACGGCAUGAAGGAGCUGGCCUCCCUCCCUUCCAUCAGCUGCGAGAUACUACAAGCACUGGGCUACAGCUGCAGCUAGCCCAUGGGUACCGUUCUGCGUCCUGUACUGCAUCUAGUUCGAAAGGCCAUGUGAAAGGCAGGUACCGGGGACCAUGACAUCAGUGAGCUGGCUUUCACCUUGUCCAAGGCAGCAGCGGAACACUACGGGCGGGACCCUGGAUCACUGCACCAUGGAUGCCGUCCUGUACCCUGCACGGCACUGCGUGUGGCUUAAGUGGCCAAGCAGAGGGUCAUUGCAUGACUUUUAUGAGGCGCCGCUAGCCAUUGUAAGUACAUUUUGGACACUCAUGUCUGGUGAUGUACUUUUGUGCUCUACCGCAGAGCACAUUUGGUGGCGGUUCAGUCUUGCCAAUUACACCAUUUUGAAACGGAACACAUUUAGUGGUGGCUCGGUUUAGGUUUCCUGGCUCGGUGAUCUUGCAACAGUGUCUAGACUUGGCGUAAACCUUUUUGUACUUCAUUGUCAAGGCUAGUGUAAUUUCUGCAAUGCCGUUGAAGCCACUUCUGCACGCAAACAAGAUAAAA